AGAUUGAACGCUGGCGGCGUGCUUAACACAUGCAAGUCGAGCGGUAACGCGGGAGCAAUCCUGGCGACGAGCGGCGAACGGGUGAGUAAUGCUUGGGAAUCUGCCCAUUAGUGGGGAACAACCAGCCGAAAGGUUGGCUAAUACCGCAUACGCCCUACGGGGGAAAGCGGGGGAUCGAAAGACCUCGCGCUAAUGGAUGAGCCCAAGUCGGAUUAGCUUGUUGGUAGGGUAACGGCCUACCAAGGCGACAAUCCGUAGCUGGUCUGAGAGGACGACCAGCCACACUGGGACUGAGACACGGCCCAGACUCCUACGGGAGGCAGCAGUGGGGGAAUAUUGGACAAUGGGGGCAACCCUGAUCCAGCGACGCCGCGUGUGUGAAGAAGGCCUGCGGGUUGUAAAGCACUUUUAGUGGGGAUGAAAAGCUCAGGAUUAACACCUCUGGGUCUUGACCUAACCCACAGAAAAGCACCGGCUAACUCUGCGCCAGCAGCCGCGGUAA
rnacentral:rRNA from 1 species